AAUGGGUGAGGUGGGGUAGGUACAUGGAGUAAGCUUAGUGUUGCAUAGUUUGAAUAAUUUUGGUGGGCUCUGGGCUAUAGGAGUGGUUCUCAGGUGUCCAGUACCUGGCCCUGGGGUGAUUCGGGGCAGAGGGAGUAUUGGCCUGGUGUGUGAGGGUUUGAUGGUUGGUUUGACUAUCAAAGACACCACAGGGGAGUCGCUUGCUGUCUCUGGGAAGUAGCCAGCCCUGAGAGGUGGAGCCUUCCCAGGAUGAAGGCCCCAAAUGGCAGACCAUCAAUGAUAUAGAAAAUAAGAAAAUAGAGUUGAUAUACCCCGCAAUUCCAUUUCUGGGAAUUUUAUUUAAAAUAUGCUACUCCAGGGAAUUCCCUGGCAGUCCAGUGGUUAGGACUUAGCACUUUCACUGCCAGGGCCCGGGUUCAAUCCCUGGUCAGGGAAUUAAGAUCCCACAAGCCACGUGGCACGGUAAAAAAAAAAAAGAAAGAAAGAAAGCUACUCCAUUUCUUUUGUUCACUUACUCUCCCCUUUUGCUUGGUGACAUUCUCGUCUAUUUUUCUCAUCCCACAAAUACUCCCAACAUAUCUACCCCAGGCUCACUCUUAGGGGAUGACCUUGUUUCCUCCAUCACUGACAAAAUACAAGCACUUGACAGAGUGUCUGCAUCCCCUGAUCUAGCGAAUGUAGCUCAGUUGUACCUUCUUAUUUUUCCUCCCGUCUAGUCCAAGGCUGACCCCUCACCUGUGCACCAGCUAACAUCCCCUCAGGCCAACUGGGGACACCCCGGGCAUUCUCUCUCCCUUUCCAGGAACAUCACAGUAUUUAAAAGUAUCAUCCCUGUUCUUAUAUGAACAUGCUGUCGGUUUUCCCAUAUUAAAAAACAAAACUCGUCUCUUGAUGCCUCAACCCCCUCUGGAAUCUGCCCCCAUUUCUCUUCCCUCCAUGACAGCAAAACUCUUCAGGAAGCUUCCAAAACUUGCUCUCUCCAAUUCCUUUCCCCCUGUUCUCUCUCAAACCUGUUUCACCCAUGCACAUUGAUAACAUCUCCUUUGACUAGGUCUCCAAUGACCUUCCCAUUGCCAAGUCCAGCAACCAAUUUUCAGGAGUCAUUGUAUCGAAACCGACUGUAACCCAUAGCUCCCCCCACCUAAUAUUUCAUUAAGAAAAUCUGAAAACACAGAAAAGUUGAGAGAAUCAUAGAAUGAACAUCUAUGUAUGCCACACCUAAAGUCUACAAUUAAGCGUUGAAUCUGCAAGCAUUUUUACAGUCCAGGUUCUUUUUGUCAUGUCAGGCUGACUUCACACUGAGGUAUGAAUCUCAAAGUAUUUCUCAACUCAGUCGUUGAACCAGUGAAGGGACAGAAAGUGAGGGAAGGCCACGUUUGUGACAAGGAGUAGGCACUUCGAUUUGUCAGAUUUUUACAAGUGGGUUUUUUUUGUUUUUUAAAAAAUAUUUAUUUAUUUAUUUUGUCUGUGCCGUGUCUUAGUUGCAGCACGUGGGAUCUUAGUUGCAGCAUGCAAACUCUUUAGCUGCAGCAUUUGGGAUCUAGUUCCCUGACCAGGGAUUGAACCCAGGCCCCCUGCAUUGCCAGGGUGGACCACCAGGGAAGUCCCUACAAGUGGUUGAGUAACGUACUUAGUCAAUUGCUCUUUUGUUCAGUUUGUACCAAUAAUAGCUCUGUUUAUUUAUUUUUAUUUCAGAUAAUGGGAGAAGUGAUACACCCGAGCCUACAAAAAGCAUCCAAGUUUGUAGCACAUUCAGUGGGUCUAAAUACCAACCUCAAUACAGCACUGAUUCCUCAUAGACCUGCUCUUGUUCAGGGGACACGGGUUCGAGCCCCGAACCGGGAAGAUCCCACAUGCCACAGAGCAACUAAACCCGUGCACCACAACUACUGAGCCUGUGCUCUAGAGCCAGCGAGCCACAACUACUGAGCCCACGCACCACAACUACUGAAGCCUGUGCACCUAGAUCCCAUGCUCCGCAACAAGAGAAGCCACCACAAUGAGAAAGCCUGCGCACCACAACGAAGAGUAGCCCCCGCUCACCCCAACUAGAGAAAGCCCGCCCGCAGCAACGAAGAGCCAACGCAGUCAACAGCAACAACAACAAAAAGUAAAUGCUGAUUUUCAACCUUUUCAGACUCAAGAUUGUGAGAUGUUAUUGAGGGCUUCCCUGGUGGCGCAGUGGUUAAGAAUCCGCCUGCCGAUGCAGGGGACACGGGUUCGUGCCCCGGUCCGGGAAGAUCCCACAUGCCGUGGAGCGGCUGGGCCCGUGAGCCACAACUACUGAGCCUGUGCAUCUGGAGCCUGUGCUCCACAACGGGAGAGGCCACGACAGUGAGAGGCCCGCGCACCGCGAUGAAGAGUGGCCCCCACUCGCCGCAACUGGAGAAAGCCCUUGCACAGAAAUGAAGACCCAACACAGCCAAAAAAAAAAAAAAAAAAGAUGUUAUUGAACUUGAUCAUGGAGUCGACUGGUACAGGCUGAGGAAAAACAACAACUUGCGUCGCUCUAUAAAAAUGUCAAGAUACCAUUAUUAGGAGAUGAAGAGGAGGGCUCUGAGGAUGAGGGCCAGGAUGAGUCCACGCACCUCCUUUCAGAGAGUGAGAAGGAACUGGAAAAGUUCAUUCAUUCAGUCAUUAGAUCAAAAAGAAGAAAAUAUAUGGAAAAGAAGAGAUUGAACACAGAGCAAAAGUUGGUAAAGGAAGUGGAAAUAAAGGAUGCUAUACAUACCGCAAAUCCAGGGCAUCUGUGAAAAGAAAUGAAAAAGAGGCAGGACAUGCCAGCCAGUGUGGAGGAAACAGUGACAGAUGACAGAAUGUGAGCAUGACUUGCUCCUGGAAAACCCUGUGCAAGAGCACUGUAAAGGAAGAACACCAGACGUAAAAACAGGAAAUAAAUUCAUAUGAUAUAGCAAUCUUGCUUCCUAGUUCUUAGAGUUUAUGAAUAAAUACAACUUAAUUGGAAAAGAAAAAAAUCCAACUUUGUAAGUGUGAAAGAGAAAUUGUCAGGAUUUUCUUUUCUCACUCCUAACCAGUAGUUUCUUCGGGGAUCUGGGACCUGGUGCAGGAAAUAGGUCUGCGGGCAAAGAGCUACAAAGCAUUGCCAGAUGUACUGAGUGCUGUAAGCUGGGAGUCACCGAGAGCUGUGGAAACACAAAAGGGGCAGGAUUUAAUCUGAGUGGUGUUGUUGGUGUGGAAAACAGUCUGAUGGUUCCUCGAAAAGCAGGGCAAUGUGACCUUUGAGGAUGUGGCCAUGUACUUCUCUUUGGAGGAAUGGAAUCUCCUUGAUGAGCCUCACAGAUGCCUGUACCAAGAUGUGAUACUGGAGAAUUUGGCACUUGUAACCUCCCUGGAGUCUGGGAAGUUGAAGCUCAAGGCACUGGCCUUGUGGAAAGAGCCUCCUCUUUUUCUACGAAAAGAAUAGGUUGUUGGUGUGGAGUGGAGGAUAAGGAGGCAUCUUCUGAGCACAGCAUUUCUGCCAAAGUAAUGCCACAGGAUAGGACUCUCAAAGCAGGUCUGUCUCCCCAGAAGGCCCACCUCUGUGAGAUGUGUGGACCCAUGUUGAGAGACAGUUUGCACUUGGUUGUAGACCAGGAAACAUAUCACAGGCAGAAAUUGCACAUGUGUGGGGCAUGUGGAAAACAAUUUGCUCUCACUGCAGACCUUUAUCAGCUGCACAAGCAGCGUGUUGGAGAGAAAUGCUUCAAAAGCAGCAUGAGCAGAGCCUUGUUCUUGAAGAGCUGCUAAUUCCAUGUGUCAGGGAAGUCCUUUACCUGUAAGGAGUUUGGGAAGGACUUUCUGGCCAGCUCAGGACAUCUUCAGCAACAGGCCACUCACACCAGGGAGAAGUCAAACAGCGGAGCAGAGUGUGCGGUGGCCUUCCACAGUGUAAACAACCAUUACAACCGGCUAGAGUGCAUGAAAGCUUGCAGCCCCAAACACACCCUUGUUCAGCACCAGAGUCCUCAAGAGGGAAAGAUCUUACAGGUGCCGUGAGUGUGGGAAAUCCUUUAGAAAAAACUGUAGCCUCAGGGAGCAUUUGAGAGUUCACACUAGAGAAAAGCCUUAUGAGUGUGGGGAAGGUGGAAAAUUAUUUAGCAAGAAGUACAACCUUAUCAUUCAUCGAAAAGUUCACCCUGGUGAAAAGCCAUAUGAGUGCAGUGAAUGUGGGGAAUCUUUUAGCCAGAGCUCUCGCCUCAUUAGACACCAGAGAAUUCACACUGGAGAAAGGCCUUAUGAGUGCAGUGAAUGGAAAGUCCUUUAUCUUCAACCCCAAUCUCCUAAAAUACCAGAAUGUUCACAAGGAAUAAAGGCCUUUACAUAAUAUAGGUAAGUCUGUUAUGGACUGAAUUGUGUCCCUCAAGAUUCAUAUGUUCAAACCCUAACAGCCAAUGUAACUAUGUGUUUAGGUAUGUCCUAUAAGGAGAUAACUAAGGACAAAUGAGGUCAUAAGAACGGGGUCCUAAUCCGGUGUGACUUGUGUCCGUGGAAGAAGACAAGGCACCAGAAGGUGCUCACUUUCUCACUGUAUUCAUGAACAGAGGAAAGGCCAUUUAAUGACACACCAAGAAGGUGGUUGAUUAGAAGUCAGAAAGAAAGGCCUCACCAGAAACCAUUCCUGGUGGCACCUUGGUCGUAGACUCCCAGCCUCUAGAAAUAGGAGAAUAUACAUUUCUUUAAGCCACCCAGUCUGUGGUAUUUUGUUGUGGCAGCCUGAAAAGAGACAAAGAUGCAAAGAAGGUGCCACAUUGUAUUUCUGUUUUUGCCAUACUGAUAAUAGUAGACACAAAUAACCCUGAGAAUGUAUAGAAUAGUAAAGCAUAGUGAAAUAAUUAGGAGGUUACAAAUUUUAAGAGUUACCUUUGGUUUUUAAACAGCUUUACUGAAAUACAAUCAGUUGUCAUUCACGCUAGUCAUGUUCUCUAAUUCACUGAAUCAGUGAAUAUAGAGCCGUUGUUCCUAGGGGAAGUCUGGAAUUAGGUUCCUGAGAGCCUCUGGUCACAACGUUUUUGUCAACUGGUCAGUACAUAACAUGGUUUUCCAUGUGUUUCUGUUUAAAGACAACUCAUUUACUGUAUACUGUUGAUUUGUUAACACUGAAAUCAUGGCUAACAGCACUAUGAUUCCUGCCUGAACAAUGCUUACCUAACAUGUAUUUUCUUUAAGCCACAUUGUUUGGGCUUAGGAACUCUAGGCGGCACAUAAGCUCCAGGUUUGGAGGCCAUUUUGGGCCACAAAACCACCAAGAAGAAGCAUAAAUGGGGCACUAAAUACAUCAUGGGAAGAAUGCUUGUUUACAGUAUGGGAGCUGCAAAGAGAAGGCAGAGCAUCAUCUUGUGUAUCUCAUGUACACUGGGUGACUCGGAUUUUUUGUGUCUCCACAUGUCUGUGAAUAAGUGUAAAAAUGUGAGUAUUGAUUUGGGGGGGUUUCCAGUUUUGGCAGGUAGGCAAAUUUACAAAUACAGAAUCCAUGAAAAAUGAGGAUUGACUAAUUGUCUUGCCAUAAAUUGUGCAUACUUAAAGAUAUAUUCAGGCUGAAACUUGUGCUUUUUCACCACUUUAUGGACUCACCAAGAUUUUGUGAGGACUUUGGUGGAGGCUAGGAUGUUUCAUUCAGCCAGGUGCAUAUGAUCAGGGGCAAAUUCAGUCAUCUGUGAGUCACCAGACCUGGGGUGGGUUAUCCGUGGGGCUGGGCUUUGAAUGAUGGUUGGAUGGACAGAGGAAGGGUGUGAUUUCUGAGGGCACAGCAAGUGCAGAAAAAGCAGAUAGGACCGUGGGUAGCUGAGAUCCACACAUGGUUCUCUGUGGCUGCGUCUGAGCUACGGAGUUGAAUGAGACCUGCAUGGAGUGAUUUGGGGCUCUGGUUGCUAACAGAAACCAUGGGAAGUCUGUAGUCAUACUGGAUCCUCUCUGAAUUUGUCAAGGAUAUUCUGGAUGCUGUCUGCCUAGUUGUGUUGUAAGUUCUAAAAUUAAGGCCAGUAGAUAUGCUGCCUUCACAUUCUGGUGAAACAAGGAUGCCCUCAAAUGGCCGUGGUGCAAGUUUCCCUCCACAUGCUUCUCACAGGUAAUGUCUCCUAACCUUACAACCCUUUUUAUCAAAGGGAGCAGGCACAGUUCUUGCUUAUCCCUUUGUAGUGAGUUUCAGUUCCCUACCGGCGUGCAGAGUCAUUUAAACAAGCCAGUCAUGUCCUCUUGCGGGAAGCAGGGCACCGUACCCUCUCGAUCCCACAGAGACUGCAUCCCACAGCCCUUGGUUGUUCACUCUGCCAGUGUGUGGCCUUCCCAUGGCCUUGUGUGUUGUCUCCCACAUGUUAACAUGUGGUUAAUAAAUGGCUGUUGAUUGCAUCUGGCCAGUGUCAGGGGUCAUGUGUUUGGCCACACCCUUAGGGUGGGAAUUAUACCCUCACCAGUGGAGUUAUGAGGAGGUGACUGAAAUACGAGUAAUAAGACGCCUACAGUAAGGGGCACUGAUGCUGGUGGCCGUGGGCAUGGGGCUGUGAGGGAUGUGCGUUCAGACAGGGAGCACGUCUGAUGG